rnacentral:rRNA from 1 species
GGGAUAACCCUGGGAAACUGGGGAUAAUACCGGAUAUAUGGAGAUACCUGGAAUGGUUCUCCACUUAAAGCUCCGGCGCCUAAGGAUGGAUCUGCGGCAGAUUAGGUCGUUGGUGGGGUAAUGGCCCACCAAGCCUUUGAUCUGUACGGGUUGUGAGAGCAAGAGCCCGGAGAUGGAACCUGAGACACGAAUCCAGGCCCUACGGGGUGCAGCAGGCGCGAAAACUUUACAAUGCGGGACACCGCGAUAAGGGGACCUCGAGUGCUGGCAUACAAUGCUGGCUGUCCAGCUGCCUAAAUAGCAGUUGAUAGCAAGGGCCGGGCAAGACCGGUGCCAGCCGCCGCGGUAACACCGGCGGCUCGAGUGGUAACCGUUAUUAUUGGGUCUAAAGGGUCUGUAGCCGGCCGGAUAAGUCUCUUGAGAAAUCUGGCAGCUUAACUGUCAGGCUUUCAGGAGAUACUGUCUGGCUCGAGGCCGGGAGAGGUGAGAGGUACUUCAGGGGUAGGGGUGAAAUCUUGUAAUCCUUGAAGGACCACCAGUGGCGAAGGCGUCUCACCAGAACGGACCUGACGGCAAGGGACGAAAGCUAGGGGCACGAACCGGAUUAGAUACCCGGGUAGUCCUAGCCGUAAACGAUACUCGCUAGGUGUCGGCCACGGUGCGACCGUUGUCGGUGCCGUAGGGAAGCCGUGAAGCGAGCCACCUGGGAA